rnacentral:rRNA from 1 species
GGAGUUCUGAGUAAGGGCGUGUGGUGGAUGCCUUGACUGAAGAAGGCGAUGAAGGACGCGGCUUAGCUGCGAUACGCUUCGGGGAGGUGCUAUGCAACCUACGAUCCGGAGAUUUCCGAAUGGGGCAACCCUAUAUGGCAAACCCAUAUAACUUUCCACUUAAACGGUGGAAAGAGCAGACCUCGGGAAGUAAAACAUUUCAGUACCGAGAGGAAAAGAGACCAACAGGUAUUCCCUUAGUAGCGGCGAGCGAAACGGGAAAAGCACAAACUCAGCCUCAAAGCCGGAUUGCCGAUAGUGGUGAUUCGACUUUGGGUAUGGGGGUAUAGGCUACAGCGUCCCCUGACCCUCUGACAAAUAUUGUCAGGAGGUCAGGAGGGUGGAGUUACAAAAUGCUUAGUUAGUGGAACGCACUGGGAAGUGCGACCCCAGAGGGUAAUAGUCCCGUACACGAAAACAAAGCAUCUCUAUGGCUGUAGUUCUUGAGUAGCUCGAGACAUGGAUAGCUCGGGUGAACACACCAGGACUAACUGGUAAUGCUACAUACUUCUUCAGAUCGAUAGUGAACAAGUACCGUGAGGGAAAGGUGAAAAGAACCCCGAUGAGGGGAGUGAAAUAGAACUGAAACCACAUUUCUACAAGGAGUUGAAGAGGUGCUUGCACCUCGACAGCGUGCCUAUUGAAGAAUGAGCCAACGAGUUGAUGCAUACGGCUUGGCUAAGUGCCUCAAAGCAUGGAGCCGUAGCGAAAGCGAGUGUGAAUAGCGCGUUCGUCGUAUGUAUCAGACCCGAAGCAACGUGAGCUACCCAUGAGCAGGAUGAACUCUGUAGAAAUACAGAGGGAGGUCCGAACCCAUAGAUUGUGCAACAUCUCGGGAUGACUUGUGGGUUGGAGUGAAAAGCUUAUCGAACGUUGUAAUAGCUGGUUCUCUCCGAAAAAGCUUUCGGGCUUGCGUCAUGAAUUGUAGGUGGGGGUAGAGCACUGGAAGAAGCGGACAGGCCGAAAGGCCGCUGC